GCAUGCAAAACGGUGAUGUAGUGGUAGCUUGCCCCCUUCCUCCCGGUGUGGGUGAAACGUGGGUUCAACUCCCGCCUGAUGCC